rnacentral:rRNA from 1 species
AAAAAAUUGAGUUUGAUCCUGGCUCAGGGUGAACGCUAAUAGUAUGCUUAACACAUGCAAGUUGUACGAAAUUUUUUUCGUGGCGAACGGGUGAGUAAUGUAUAGAUAAAUUACCUAAUAGUUAUUUUUAAAAUUAAUCUAAAACUAAUAAAUUAGAUAAAUAAUAAAAUAUUAUAAAAAGAAUUUUAAAAUAUUACUACUUUUAUAAAAAAAUUGUUUAUAAACGUAAAACUUAAAAUUUGCUAUUAGAUAUUUCUAUAAAAGAUUAGGUAGUUGGUAGUAUUAAAAGUUUACCAAGCCCGUGAUCUUUAGUUGGUCUGCGAGGAUGAUCAACCACACUGGAACUGAGACAAGGUCCAGGCUGUUUUUUCGGCCAGCAGUGGGGAAUAUUGGACAAUGAACGAAAGUUUGAUCCAGCAAUACUAUAUGAAUGAUGACAGCUGUUAUAAGAAUUUAAAAUUAAAUUUUAAAAUUCUGGGUGUAAAGUUACUUUUAUUAAAUAAGAUAAUGACGUUUUUUAAAGGAAUAAAGUCCCGGCUAAUCUCGUGCCAGCAGCCGCGGUAAUACGGGAGGGGCGAGCGUUAUCCGUAAUGACUGGGCGUAAAGUGCUCGUAGAUUGUAAUAUAAGUUAAUUAUAAAAUUUUAAAGUAAUUACUUAAAAACAUAAUUAAUACUGUAUUACUUUUGAGUUUUGUACAGAAAAGUUGUAUUUCAUAUCUAGGGAUAAGCCCCAAAAAGUUAUGAAAGAAAAUCAAUAGCGAAGGCAGCUUUUUGGUAAAAACUGACAUUGAGGAGCGAAAGUAUGGGGAGCAAACAGGAUUAGAGACCCUGGUAGUCCAUACUGUAAAUUAUGAGUGCUGUAAUUUAAAAAAUUUAUUUGUUAAUUUCAAUAAAAUUUUUUAGAUUUUUAAGCUAACGCAAUAAGCACUCCGCCUGAGGAGUACGAUCGCAAGAUUGGAACUCAAAGGAAUUGACGGGAACCUACAACAAGUGGUGGAGCAUGUGGUUUAAUGCGAUAAUCCGCGCAAAACCUUACCAAGUCUUGAUAUAAUAAUAAAAUAUUUAAAAUAUUUAAUGGUUUAAAAAAUUUUAAAUAUUUAAUAUGUUUACAGGUGUUGCACGACUGUCGUCAGUUCGUGCUGUAAAGUAUUUGGUUCAUUCCUUUUUACGAACGUAACUCUUAUUUUUAAUAAAGUUUGUUUUACUUUUUAAAGUAUAUAUUUUUAUUAAAAAAACGGUCUAUGAUAAAUAGAAGGAAGACAAGAAUUAAGUCAAGUCCCUGUGGCCCUUAUGAUUUGGGCUACACACGUGCUACAAUGAAAAUUACAAAAAAUUAAAAUCAUUAAAAACUUAACUUUAAAGAUUUUCGUAGUUCGAAUUAUAAACUGCAAUUCGUUUAUAUGAAGGUGGAAUCACUAGUAAUCGUAAAUCAGAAUGUUACGGUGAAUAUGUAUCUUGGUUUUGUACACACCGCCCGUCGCGUGCAGAGAACUAAUUUUACUUUAAGAUUAAAUUAAUUUUAUAAUGAGUAUUGUUACAAAUAUUUAAAGAUUUUUAGCAGUUUAUUUAUUAUAAGAUAAAUCCAUUGAAAAAUUGGUAAUUUGGAUGAAGUCGUAACAAGGUAGCUGUACGGGAACGUGUAGCUGGAAUUAAUGAAAU